rnacentral:rRNA from 1 species
GACAGAGGCCUCAAGCGUUAGGCGGAAUCACUGGGCUUAAAGUGUGUGUAGGCGGAUCGUUAAGUGUCUUGUGAAAUCCCACGGCUCACCCGUGGAACUGCUGGGCAUACUGGCGAUCUUGGGCCAACUAGGGGCAACUGGAACAAGCGGUGGAGCGGUGAAAUGCGUAGAUAUCAGGAGGAACACCUGUGGCGAAAGCGGCUCACUGGACCAUAACUGACGCUGAUGCACGAAAGCUAGGGGAGCAAACAGG